rnacentral:rRNA from 1 species
AUACGGAGGGGGCAAGCGUUGUUCGGAAUUACUGGGCGUAAAGAGUACGUAGGCGGAUCGUUCAGUUAGGGGUGAAAUCCCAGGGCUCAACCCUGGAACUGCCCUUAAUACUGGCGGUCUAGAGAUCGAGAGAGGUGAGUGGAAUUUCCAGUGUAGAGGUGAAAUUCGUAGAUAUUGGGAAGAACACCAGUGGCGAAGGCGGCCAUCUGGUCCGGCACUGACGCUGAGGCGCGAAAGCGUGGGGAGCAAACAGGAUUAGAAACCCUAGUAGUCC